UUGCUGUAGUGUAAAGAAGCACAGUAUCUUUUCAUGAUACAAGAGUAGAAUUCUACCAGCAGU
rnacentral:tRNA from 1 species